UACGGGGGGGGGUAAGCGUUGUUCGGAAUUACUGGGCGUAAAGGGCGCGUAGGCGGCCUGCUAAGUCGGAUGUGAAAUCCCUGGGCUCAACCCAGGAACUGCGUCCGAUACUGGAAGGCUUGAAUCCGGGAGAGGGAUGCGGAAUUCCAGGUGUAGCGGUGAAAUGCGUAGAUAUCUGGAGGAACACCGGUGGCGAAGGCGGCAUCCUGGACCGGUAUUGACGCUGAGGCGCGAAAGCCAGGGGAGCAAACGGG
rnacentral:rRNA from 1 species